rnacentral:lncRNA from 1 species
GCCAUUUUGCUUGUGGGCUGCCGCCCGCCGUUGCCUCUCCGCGGAGGCUCGAAGAUAGCAAACUGGAGGCGGUGAGGGGGACGGAAUCUCUGUCUUUCUGACAACAGAUGCAUUCAACAAUCCACCGAAGGUUUGAGGAAGUGUCGGUAUUCGGUGGGACUGGUUCUUUCCCCCUUUCCCCCAGUGGCCCUCAAGUCUGGAUAUAGGUGAGCUUGGGCAUGCCAGUAUUGGGUGCACGAACAAGGACAGCAGGGCUUGGGAACGAACUCCCUCCCGUCACCCUCCGAAAGCGAUACACCUUCUCCCCCUCCCAAACAACCCCAGUCCCGUCUCCCCGUUCCUCUCCCCCUCCUCCCCCAGCCCAGUCUGGCCUCCAGCGCUGGGUGAACCCGGUUGGGGUGUCACUCGACGCCCACUAGGGGCUGAGGAGGCUCCAGUGCGCAGGCUCCGGGCACCGGAUAAAAGCGGAGCUGGCGAGUCUAGUGCUGUCUCGAUGGAGGAGCAAGAAACGGAAGAGGUCGGGGGGAGAAGCAGCCGGAAAAAUGCAGCCACCGUCAACGCCGCCUCCCUGCCACCGUGCUUCGGGGUAAAAAGCUGCCGUUGCCGUCGGUGCAGUUGCCGUCGCUGCCUCCUAUACUUCUCUUGGCCUCGGGGAAGGAUUUCCCCACCGGUGGGACAAUGUGCGGGGAGGGGAGUGGGAAUUCCUUUAUAUGGCGGUGAUUAAACGAGGGAGGGACAGACAGUGAUCUCGAAGAAAAAAGGGGGAGACCAAAGAAUAAAAGAAGGGUUUCCCCACUAAAAUGACACGGCGAUUCCGGCUCUUGUUUUGGGGGUCUUUCCCCGAAAUGGUUUCCGUCUUCCCCUUGCCCCGCAGCGACCCAGAGCGCUGGGGGAAGCGGAGUGGGGAGAGGCAGAGGCGGUCUCGGCAGCCAAUCAGCGCCUGAUGUGUCCUGUCGGGCGCGUCGUGGUUGGCUGGCGAUGACCUCAUCCUGCAGCAGCGGGUGGGGCCAAAGCCGUAGGGGGAGGCUGUUGCAAAGGUAGAGAGGGAGAAGUGACGAUGGUGAUCGUUGCUGCCGCGGCCGAUAUGGAACCCAAGCAGUGGCGAAGGGAAUCGCAAGGCUCUUCCCUGACCAUUUUCUACUGUCCCUGCGCGAGGUGAGGGCCCCGGCUCGGCCUCUGCAAAACUUUGGGGCGCUGGCGCGGAGGAGGAGACAGGAUUUCUCCCGUGACUUUUGUAACUGCGUCAGGGCAAGAUGGCGCUGGGUCUCUUUGGGGCGCGGGGGGAGAGGCACGUCCACCGCCGCAGCGCAUGUGACCGGGCUGCAUUCCUGUGGGGUUUGGCUCCGACCCAGGCCGGGGCGGGGGAGGGGACAGGGCUUGGGCGGAGGAGACUGUGGUGCGGUCGGCGUUGGCGGCCUGAAGAGGAAGAGAUGACUGUUGGAAAGCGUUCCCCUCCCCCAUACGGCAGAACAGCUGCGGCUCCCAGGGGAAAGCCCCCGCAGGACAGUCCUCGUGGGGUGUGACGGCUGUUGGUGGAGAAGGUUUGGCGCCCUAUUUUCUUAUCUGCCUUUCUCCCCGCAAAGUAUACUUAUGUAAGGUGGUAGUUCCCUGACGUGGGACUCGGAAUCAACUAGGAGUCCUUGAGGGCCUCUGGGAGGCCUAGCGAGGGGUAGACCAGCUUCUGGGGGUACAACGUCAAGGAGGAUCGAUUACUUUCUGAGGAAACAGUUUCUCAGAUUGAAAUAGAAAAGUAUUUCCAAAGUUUGGAAACAAAUUUAAAGGUGUAAAUAACACCCAGGAACACUUUAAUUGCUUUGAAAAGGCAUAAGCAGCCAUCUGAAUUUAAGGGCCCUUUUCAGACUCUUCCUUCCUCCUGUGAUUCCUGUUCUUUAUUUCAGUUUUCUGUCUGUACAUCCCUUAAGAAUAUAGUUUUGUCGGUGGGAUUCGCUCUUUUGUGCCCAGGCUGGAGUGCAGAGGCGAGAUCUCGGCCCACUGCAACCUCCGCCUCCCCGGGUUCAGGCGAGUCUCCUGCCUCAGCCUCCCAGGUAGCUGGGAUUACAGGCGCCCACAACCACACCCUGCUAAUUUUUUCUAUUUUUAGUAGAGACGGGGUUUCACCCCAUUGACCAGGCUGGUCUCGAACUCUCGAGAUCCGCCCGUCUCAGCUUCCCAAAGUGCUGGGAUUAUAGGCAUGAGCCACCGCGCCGGGCCUGCUUUUUUUUUUUUUUUUUUUUUUUGCACUGGGCAUUAGUAAUACGGAAUAAAAGCCGUGUUUUAAACUGUAUUAAGUUGUAAGACUUUUCAGUACUUUCAAGUCUGCUUUCUUUCUGUUGCCCUUUUGUAGUUUUUAAAAAUAAAAGAUGCAAUUAUAAGCACUUCCGGUGAAUAUUAUUCCUUAAGG